rnacentral:lncRNA from 1 species
GCCAACUAGUCCUAGUGCUAGGCUGUGAGCUGGCAUGCACUAUGUGCCUACCCAGUGGCUUCUGGAGCAGGUUUGAGGCACCCACCAGCGAGCUUCAGUGUUGUCCUCCUACGAACUCAUUCCUGUGAGAGCAGAACCUCUUCGAGAGCAGAAGGUGAAUUCUAAAAAAGACCAAGCAGGAAAGGGCUGCUUGAAAAAUAAGAUAUGAAAACUGGAAAAGGCUAGCCAAGAGCUCAUUCUUGUUGCAGAUUUUAUUAGCCUUGUGAGGUUCUUGGAUAAAGCAAGCCAGUGGCCUCAGGUGGAGCUCUCCUUGGAGGAGAGUGAGUGGAGAGCUCUGCUUCUGAUGAGUGGUCUCUGUACAAGCAGCGAGAGCACACUAUGGACAGGGACACCAUCAAGGCUGUGCUGGGGACCCAGCAGGAAGCUCUGCAGGAGCUACCACUCAAGUCCCCUGAGUUCCCCACUGAGACCAUCAAGUGGGACUGCAGCAUGUUCCCCUUUGAAUGGGAAGGUCCAGAUUAUACACUAUGGGUCUCUAACUACCAGCCCCCCAAAGGCAGGUACAAUGACAUCACCAAGAUGUACACACAGGUAGAGCUCAAGA